rnacentral:rRNA from 1 species
GAUGAACGCUGGCGGCGUGCCUAAUACAUGCAAGUCGAGCGAACAGACGAGGAGCUUGCUCCUCUGACGUUAGCGGCGGACGGGUGAGUAACACGUGGAUAACCUACCUAUAAGACUGGGAUAACUUCGGGAAACCGGAGCUAAUACCGGAUAAUAUAUUGAACCGCAUGGUUCAAUAGUGAAAGACGGUUUUGCUGUCACUUAUAGAUGGAUCCGCGCCGCAUUAGCUAGUUGGUAAGGUAACGGCUUACCAAGGCAACGAUGCGUAGCCGACCUGAGAGGGUGAUCGGCCACACUGGAACGGAGACACGGUCCAGACUCCUACGGGAGGAAGCAGUAGGGAAUAUUCCGCAAUGGGCGAAAGCCUGACGGAGCAACGCCGCGUGAGUGAUGAAGGUCUUCGGAUCGUAAAACUCUGUUAUUAGGGAAGAACAAAUGUGUAAGUAACUAUGCACGUCUUGACGGUACCUAAUCAGAAAGCCACGGCUAACUACGUG